CCUACGGGUGGCAGCAGUGGGGAAUAUUGGGCAAUGGUGGCAACUCUUACCCAGCAAUGCCGCGUGAAUGAAGAAGGUCUUCGGAUUGUAAAGUUCCUUAUUUGGGGACGAAAAAAAUGACGCUCCUCCACGAAUAAGCCUCGCCUAAAUACGAGCCACCAGACGCGGCAAUCCGUAGGGGGCAAUCGUUGUUAGGAAUGACUGGGUGUAAAGGGUGUGUAGGCGGUGUAGCAAAAUAGAGGUGAAAUACCUAGAGCUUAACGCAGGUGCUGCUUAUAAAACUGCUAGACUUGAGUGCAGUAGAGGAAAGUGGAAUUCCUAGUGUAGCGGUGGAAUGCGUAGAUAUUAGGCGGAACAUCAGUUGCGAAGGCGGCUUGCUGGACUGUAACUGACGCUGAGGCACGAAAGUGUGGGGAGCAAACAGGAUUAGAUACCCCUGUAGUC
rnacentral:rRNA from 1 species